AAUUUUCCAAGGUCUAACUGAAAACCCUAGGAAAUGAACUCAGAUGGAUUUUAGUGUUGUAGACGUGUGCUUUUGAUGGGAAUCUCCUGAUCACUCUCACUAUUCACGUUGCGGUUCUUGCUGCAGAGUCAUCCUGGAAUGCGUGAACCUGAUGUUUUUUGAAUGAAAUGAAACCAGCAGAUGCACUCCAGAAGCAAGCCCCAUGACUUGCUGCUGCCAAUGAGAUGUCAGACCACAGGACAGCCAAAAACUAGAGUAUCCUGUCUGCCAUCCUUGAAAACAACGGAGUAAUGUGUCCCUCCCUGAAGUGGCAAAUCUGCCUGCCCUUCUUCCACUUUUUUUGCUGCCUUUAACAUUCCAGAGGUGUUUCUCUGAAGGUCCACUGGGACUGAACUCAAAUCUUGCUUUGGUUUCAUGCUGUGAGCUAACUCCUGGUCACCUGGGGAUUCGAGUCGGGUAGUCUGAAGGGCCCAGAUGACUUUGUUACUCCUGAUUGCUACUGGCUAAAAUGUUUGUGUGUCUCACACCAAGCCAAUAUAACUGUUUGAUACUUAGAGGAAAUGAAAGUGAAAAUACAGAAAAGUGCAGAGCUGAUAAAAUAGUGCCCACAUCAUCUUUCUGGUUUAGCUGUAACAUGAUGCUGAAAAGUGUCAUGGCAGUUUCCAAGUCCAUCCAUCAGAAAAACUGCAAAAGCUUAAAUAAACUCCAAUGAAUGAAUAAGUUAUCAUUGGAAUACAGUUCAAAAUUCCAACUGACAUGAAAUUUACUAAAAAAACUAAUUAUUCUCCCCUGAGAAGUUCCUCUAUAGAGUUUAAGCUGUGUGGAGACAAGAUUUUGCAUAUUUUUUUUCUCCUCUCCUGUCUUGGUUAUUGCAAUGACAUUAACUUUCUCUUUUACAGUAAAACUUAUGAAUGACCUGGAAAAAUGUAAGCUUACUCAGUUAUACAAGGUAGCAUCCAAACAAUCCAGGAGAUUUUAAAAAAGGACCUCAAACAACUACAAGCAAAACUGUAGCAACUGCAAAAUGGGUUUUAGCCCUAGCCUAUUGUUCCAGAAGCAUUUGGACUUGACUCUUGGAGCAGGACUCAACUGGCUGGAUUUCACCUUAGGAAGUUUAAGAAGUGAAUGACCUGCUCAAGAAAAAGAUCAAGUCACCUGGCUUUUGUUUGUUGUUGUUCUAAAGAAAGGAUGAAGCAUCAGGAGCUGUGUGAGUGGCUUUAAAGUGGACAGUGUAUUGUUUUCUUCAGUUGCCAUAGAUCUAUCAACAGAGUAUUAUCUCCUUGGUAAGAACUGUUUUUGCACUUCUGCACUUAAGAUCAAGAAUUAUCAAUUUUGUAGCAAGGAAGUCAUGUAAAUGAGGCCUCCUAAGGAAUUAAAAAAAAAUCAGAUUCCACUGACAAUAUAUAGGCAUUUUUAAAAUAGCUUGGACUUGAACAUUGGAACUGGUUAGAAGACAAGCCUGGGGAGGUCUUAAUAGAGAUUUACUAGCAAUUUUGGAAAUAUUUAGGUAUACUGCAUUAACUCUACUAAACUAUAAUCUGAAUGACCAGGUUUGUACAGACACUAGCAAUAUUCCAAAGAGGAACAUUUUACCAUCUUCCAUCCGUCUCUCUGCACUGGUGCUAAGAUCACAGAGAUAAUUGUAUGAAUAGUACCAGCUACUCUGUAGCCUCCCAACAUUACAAGUGUCAUUUUGACUAAGAGAAGUAUAAGUGCAUUGCAUGAUUCAGCCCAUUUUAUAUUCAUUUCACAAAACCUCCUGUAACUUAAGUUCUGACAAAAGUUCUGCCUGGAUAUUAAAGAUGAAAGACCAGUAGUGUCCUUUUGGAAAGUUUAAUAAUUUUAUGUCAGUAGAACUUUAGAAUGGUUUGAAUAUUCUGUCUGAGCAUGUCUUUAGUGUGUAUGUAUAUAUUGUCUUUCAGGAGUUCCAUACAAAAUCUACUCAGAUUAUGACUAAAAGAUUGUGUCUUAACUGGCUAAGAACCUUGAAAAAUUCAUCACAAAAUUGAAAAGUCUAUCUGAGCU